CUCAGUCAUCGCGUCACCAAGCCCCACGUGCAGGUUCUGGCAUCCAUCAUGGCAAACUGGAGACCGCGGGACUAUGGAAAGACUACAUUUCUCAACCUUCCUAGUAGAUGUGAUGUCACCAGUCGGAAUUGGGCAGAAGAAUGUAUCACUUCAGUCCAAGGCAAUUAAGUCAACAGCAAUUUAUUUACGGAUUACCUACUCAGUUGGUGCCAAGCCUGGUUCUAGAUGCUGAAGACAGAGCCUAGAUCAAGAUUGACUUGGUCCUGGCUUUCCUGAAGUUCCCAGCCUGGUAGAAGAGACAUAAUAAACAACUAGCAAACACA
rnacentral:lncRNA from 1 species